GCUUACGGCCAUACCAGCCUGGGUACGCCCGAUCUCGUCUGAUCUCGGAAGCUAAGCAGGUCGGGCCUGGGUUAGUACUUGGAUGGGAGACCGCCUGGGAAUACCAGUGCUGUAAGCA
rnacentral:rRNA from 1 species